UACGUAGGGCGCAAGCGUUAUCCCGAAUUAUUGGGCGUAAAGAGCUCGUAGGCGGUUUGUCGCGUCUGCCGUGAAAGUCCGGGGCUCAACUCCGGAUCUGCGGUGGGUACGGGCAGACUAGAGUGAUGUAGGGGAGACUGGAAUUCCUGGUGUAGCGGUGAAAUGCGCAGAUAUCAGGAGGAACACCGGUGGCGAAGGCAGGUCUCUGGGCAUUAACUGACGCUGAGGAGCGAAAGCAUGGGGAGCGAACAGG
rnacentral:rRNA from 1 species